AGGGGGGAGACAGCAGCCGAAGGGGAAGGAGUGCCUCCAAGAGCUCCACAGAGAAGCUUGGGUGAGCGGCCCAAAGGCGGGAACUACGAAGCUGUGGAGAGACGGCAGCCGCACCACAAGGACUGUAACCGACGGCUGGGAGUCGAAGCAUGAAGCCUGCAAAUAUUGUAGAAACACUUUUCUGGCAGGUAAGGCCAUUUCUGGAUUCAGUGUCUACAUACAGGAAACAUGGAUGUGAUAGCUGUGCUCAAUGAGAAGAGCAGCCAAGACACCAGCAACUGCGGCUGCACCAAGGAUGACAAAUCCACUUCUGGGAUGCAGGUCCCGCCUAGUGCAGGAGCUGGGACCUCCUCCCAACCUCCUUUCACCCCUGUUCCAUUCGAGGAAACUGGGGCCUCUGGCGCGAGAGCACCAUCGGAUGGAGGGGUUGGAACCUCCACCCAGCCCACUACCUCGCCCAUUACAGCCACAGUGCCGACCUCCCUGCAGUGCAGGAGCUCCACCAAGUUAAGGGGAUGAGAUUUCCACCUGGCCCCCACCCACUCUGACUGCUCCAGCCGAGGCAGCCGGUGCCUAUGCCACCAGGGCCCUGUCAGACGACAGAGCUCAGGCCUCCCCCCAGCCACCCUCCACCGCUGCCCUGUCUGAGGCAACUGGCCUCGGGGAGGCGGGCCAGGAGUAUCCUGAUCCAUCCCCUGUGAAGGGGAGGUCACCCACUGCUUCUCCACAGAAGAAAAACAGAGAGAGGAAAACAAAAGGGGCUUCUCAGGACACUUCACCCCAACCAGGGCCCUCCUUGGUUAGUGCUGGGAAGACUUCUGCUGGGGAGCCUGACCUCGCUCCAACUGCAUGUGGCUACAGUUGGGGAUGACUUGGCGGCAUGGGAAGCAGUGGCAGAUCCACUGACACCUCGCUCGGCUUCCAGCUCCUGGAGUCAGGUGGCAGUGAAGAUGAUAUUGAAUACCUCCCUUGUGGGGGCCUGACCUAGGGGGUGGUAGAAGAGUCUACUGACCCCUCAGUCAUGCCUCAGCCCACUGGACCAGAUGGGGAUGAUGAUGAGUUGGAGGUCCAGCUUUCCAAGCGUUAUAAGCGACUUCGGGAGCAGGAUGACAUCUCUCCCCACAAGAUGGCUGGGAUUGCCCUUCUAGAACCAGUCCUUGGCCCAGAUGAUGAGAAGAGGAUGCAGUUGCUAAACAUCGAGGGCAUGGAUGCUGCACUCUCAGGCAAGCUCUCACCUGAGGUGCAGCCCCACCACUCUUUGGUGGGGAUGUCCAGCCUAUUCUGGCAGGCUCGCCCCCAACUACGGAGGUCUCCUGGUCUUUCUGAACCAGACUAAAGGACAGAAGAAUAUAGCGGGGCAUAUCAUUCAGUGGUGUGCAGACCCUAAGCUUUUUGUCCAAGCUGCCAGGGCUGCAGACAAACUCAUGCAGCGAGACACAGGCACCCAGCAGAUGGCCUACCACCUACAGUAGCUGGCACAGUGGGUGAGGGACAUGUAGGGCUUGGGAGAGUAGAGUAGGGCAUGAUAGGUCUUUCCCGACCUGCCUCUGCUGCCAUGAUCUGUCCUUGAGUACUUGCUCUGAGGCCCUGGACAAGACCCAUAUCCUUGUCAACUGUCCCCCCUGAAGAGUACCACCCCUACUACAGCUGGCAGGGCUUCCACUCCAUCAUUCUCCAAGCCGUUGUUGACCACCGUGGUGCCUUCAUGAACUUGAGCAUUGACUGGGUGAGCAGUUCCCAGGAUGCCCACAUGUUCCGCAACUCUGCCCUGCCAGCCCUGGUGGAGAGCAGGUGCUUCACUCUGGAGUGCUGGACCUCCAGGUGGGUGCAGUGGUGGUCCUGCCCCUCUUCAUAGGGGAGCCCACCUAUCUGCUCCUCCCCUAGCUCAUGUGGUCCUACAUUGGCCAGCUGGACCACCGCCAGGCACACUUCAACUGGUGGCUGAGCUGGACCUAUUCCCGGGUGGAGUAGGACUUGGUCAGCUGAAGAGAUGCUGGUGCACCCUCACCACCUGUCACCAUGGCCAACAUCUCUCAAAUCAUCAUCACAGCCUGUGUGCUGCAUAACAUCUAUGAGGCCUGGGGGAACUCUUUCACGAGGCCUGGGUGGAGGAGGCACAGCAAGUGGACGGCUUGGCAUUAGGAGUGCCAGCUGCUGUGGAAGUGGCAGCAGCAGUAGUGGGCCACCCUGCUGAGGCCCCGGGCAAGCCACUUUCUCACCAGCAGGAGCCAGAGUUAGGGUUGUGGUUAGGGCUGCCAUGGCCCCAGAGCCAUUCCUUCCCUUUUCCUCCUGCAGGCCAGCCUGUCUCCUGUGUUGCCACCCAGCCCAUGGCACCCAGGCAGAGGGCUCAAGGGGCUCCCAGCCAACUGGGAUGCAGAGCUGCUGGUGCCCCCACCCUCUCCCCAUGGAGUGUCUCUGGGGAGGUGCCCUGGGGCCAACCCCGCCCUAUGCCAGCUCUACGCCCCAAGCAUGCCCCAGUUACAAGUGUCCCAGGCAUGGUGUGAGGAGCUGUUUGCACAGGCUUAGGGGUGACCAACCCACAACAUGCUGCUGCUGCUGAUUGCCAUGGUGCCCCAGGCAUACCUGUAAACCAGGCAUGGGACCCUGAGUUUUGAUGGUGCAGAGGGCAAGCCCACCCUGCCCCACAACCUCCACUGCCACCUGGAGGGCUACCUGGGGCUGCGCUACAAGUCCUUGCCCCCUGCAGCCAAGGAAGACAUUACCGCCAGCAUCAACACAUUCCUCGGCAUGUAAGAGUCCCAUGCCCACUGUGGUGUGGGGACACA